GACAGAGGGUGCAAACGUUGUUCGGAAUUACUGGGCGUAAAGCGUGUGUAGGCGGCUACAUAAGUCGGAUGUGAAAGCCCCGGGCUCAACCCGGGAAGUGCACUCGAUACUGCGUAGCUUGAGUCUCGGAGAGGUUGGUGGAAUUCUCGGUGUAGAGGUGAAAUGCGUAGAUAUCGGAAGGAACAUCAGUGGCGAAAGCGGCUUCCUGGACCAGUACCGACGUUCAGGCACGAAAGCGUGGGGAGCAAACAGG
rnacentral:rRNA from 1 species